rnacentral:rRNA from 1 species
AUUGAACGCUGGCGGAAUGCUUUACACAUGCAAGUCGAACGGCAGCACGGGGCAACCUGGUGGCGAGUGGCGAACGGGUGAGUAAUACAUCGGAACGUGCCCAAUCGUGGGGGAUAACGUAGCGAAAGUUACGCUAAUACCGCAUACGAUCUACGGAUGAAAGCGGGGGAUCGCAAGACCUCGCGCGAGUGGAGCGGCCGAUGUCAGAUUAGGUAGUUGGUGGGGUAAAGGCUCACCAAGCCAACGAUCUGUAGCUGGUCUGAGAGGACGACCAGCCACACUGGAACUGAGACACGGUCCAGACUCCUACGGGAGGCAGCAGUGGGGAA